AAUGGCAUUGCCAUCUUUCUUGCGUAAUGGUUCUAAACAUUUCUGCUCUCAAACUCAAAAUUCUUCGUCUACCUUAUUAUCGUGGGCUCAAAACCAUUGAGAUCAAUCUUCAUGGCCCAAGUCUUACCUUACUAGUAUUGAGAGAAAUUCUUGCAAGAAACUAUCAUCUGCGGGACAACUAUUCUAUCAAUAAUGCAAUCAUUCAAGUUGGAGAAGUGUACAUAAAUCAGAUGAGUAUGGAGUUCUUACUCGCACUGCUUUAAAGUUGAUGAGUGAACUCUGUAAUAUUAUUAUGCUAUGCGUGGACAAUUUGUU
rnacentral:lncRNA from 1 species